UCGGGAAUUUUGGGCAAUGGGCGAAAGCCUGACGCAGCGACGCCGCGUGAGUGAUGAAGGCCUUCGGGUUGUAAAGCUCUGUGGGGAGAGAAGAAUAAGUGCGGGCUAAUACUCCGCAUGAUGACGGUAUCUCCUUAGCAAGCACCGGCUAACUCUGUGCCAGCAGCCGCGGUAAGACAGAGGGUGCAAACGUUGUUCGGAAUUACUGGGCGUAAAGCGAGUGUAGGCGGUUUGGAAAGUCGGAUGUGAAAGCCCCGGGCUCAACCCGGGAAGUGCAUUCGAUACUCCCAAGCUAGAGUAUCGGAGAGGUUGGUGGAAUUCUCGGUGUAGAGGUGAAAUUCGUAGAUAUCGAGAGGAACACCGGUGGCGAAGGCGGCCAACUGGACGAAUACUGACGCUGAGACUCGAAAGCGUGGGGAGCAAA
rnacentral:rRNA from 1 species